AUUCAGCGGCGGACGGGUGAGUAAUGCCUAGGAAUCUGCCUGGUAGUGGGGGACAACGUUUCGAAAGGAACGCUAAUACCGCAUACGUCCUACGGGAGAAAGCAGGGGACCUUCGGGCCUUGCGCUAUCAGAUGAGCCUAGGUCGGAUUAGCUAGUUGGUGAGGUAAUGGCUCACCAAGGCGACGAUCCGUAACUGGUCUGAGAGGAUGAUCAGUCACACUGGAACUGAGACACGGUCCAGACUCCUACGGGAGGCAGCAGUGGGGAAUAUUGGACAAUGGGCGAAAGCCUGAUCCAGCCAUGCCGCGUGUGUGAAGAAGGUCUUCGGAUUGUAAAGCACUUUAAGUUGGGAGGAAGGGCAGUAAGCGAAUACCUUGCUGUUUUGACGUUACCGACAGAAUAAGCACCGGCUAACUCUGUGCCAGCCGCCGCGGUAAUUCGUCGUG
rnacentral:rRNA from 1 species